UGGUGGAGUGAUUUGUCUGGUUAAUUCCGUUAACGAACGAGACCCCAGGCUGCAAAAUAGGAACGUCUAUAAUUUUAUAGUUGAGUCUUUCUUUGAGCGACAUGUAGUUUCUAAGCUACAGGAAGAAUGGGGCAAUAACA
rnacentral:rRNA from 1 species